GGUAAGAAUAUAAAAUGCUUCUUAAUGGCAUGCAUCUCUAAUAGCCUUUGACAAUCAGCCCAACUCCUGGCCUUCAUGUGCGGCUCAGAUAUUGGGUCUGCCAGAACUAAUGUCAUUAACAUGAGUAACUUAAACCAGUAAGCUUCAUGCAGGAAGGCUUUGACCGGCUACCAAACUAGAUGAAGGGUUCAAACCUCUGCUGCCUUACAAC